AACAACCUGCAUAAUGUAAUUUCUUUCAUAUUCGUUAUUAAAGUUCUCCCGAACAAAUUCUAGUGAAUCAUAUAGGGCACCCAAAGCAGCUAAACGUACAGCGGCAUCCGGUUCUUCUUUACGGGCACCAGCAACGACUGCAGUAAGGAUAGCGUUCGAUUGAGCAGAGAGGACUUCCGGAGAAACAGAUUCACAAAUAUAACCAAUUGUUUGUAAGGAAUGUUGUUUUAAAGCUGACGGUUGACCUUCACCAACAUUUGCAACCAGCGUAACCAUCAAGUCGGGCCAUUGGUUAGUCGCUAAUUCAUAAGCUGCAAUAGCAGCAACAAGUUGAGCUGCAGAUUGGCCGGCCUGAUGCUCUGAUGAGCCGAGAGUUUGUAAAGCUAAGC